rfam:Sus scrofa chromosome X.
UCCCUGGUGAUCUAGUGGUUAGGACUCAGCACUCUCACUGUUGAGGCCCAGGUUCAACUCCUGGUCUGGGAA